rnacentral:lncRNA from 1 species
GGGUCUUGCAGCAAUGAGGCCCACACUCAAAUUGAUCAGGGCGGCCUUGCAAAAGAAAAGGUCAAGCGUAUUUGGGGAGGAGUCUUCGAUGAGGAAAAAGUCGAGACCGACGGCUUCUACUCCGACUCCUCCAACUUCAUCGGCCCUUCCAAUGCCACCGACCUCUCAAUCAAUAGGAAACUCAAGCAUCAACCCCAUCGAGAUCAAUGACGUCUCUGAAGUCAUCAUGGUGCUACCGUUGAGGGUGGUUGGAAGAGCUACCCCAAAGUCAGUCUGAGCCCCAAUUCCAUCUUCCAUCCAUCGGACUCUAUUGCCAAUAAGGUCAAAGUUACUUCCUCUCUCCCCCAUCGUAAUGGCUACAUCAGUUUAGCAUAAAGCAGGGCCUUCCUCAUCUAUGAUCGAGAAAGAUUUUGCAACCCUCACAAAGAGGAUUUAAAGGGAUGAUUUGGUGUUCCAAAACCAUCAACUUAUGCAAGAGUUGAUGGGAAUGCUACUGCUGCCAUGGAACUAGUUCGAGACCAAGUCCCAACCUCUAAACAAGGCUUUAUCUACUUCAUUCAGCAAUCUUUUCAAGGUAAGUCCUUCACUUGAUUUUUAUUUUCAAUGCUUGUAUGAUUUUUGACUUUAGUUUCUCUUCAUAAGUGAUUCAUGACAUUGCCCACCUCGAUGAGGG